ACGCUGGCGGCAGGCCUAAGACAUGCAAGUCGAGCGAGAAAGCCCCUCGGGGCGAGUAGAGCGGCGGACGGGUGAGUAACGCGUAGGAAUCUACCCAGUAGUGGGGGACAACUAGUGGAAACGCUAGCUAAUACCGCAUACGCCCUACGGGGGAAAGCGGGGGACCUUCGGGCCUCGCGCUAUUGGAUGAGCCUGCGUAAGAUUAGCUUGUUGGUGAGGUAAUGGCUCACCAAGGCGACGAUCUUUAGCUGGUCUGAGAGGAUGAUCAGCCACACCGGGACUGAGACACGGCCCGGACUCCUACGGGAGGCAGCAGUCGGGAAUAUUGCGCAAUGGGGGAAACCCUGACGCAGCCAUGCCGCGUGUGUGAAGAAGGCCCUAGGGUUGUAAAGCACUUUCAAUUGGGAGGAAAAGCUAUUGGUUAAUAACCAUUAGCCCUGACGUUACCUUUAGAAGAAGCACCGGCUAACUCCGUGCCAGCAGCCGCGGUAAUACGGAGGGUGCAAGCGUUAAUCGGAAUUACUGGGCGUAAAGCGCGCGUAGGCGGUUUUUUAAGUCGAAUGUGAAAUCCCCGGGCUCAACCUGGGAACUGCAUCCGAUACUGUAAGACUAGAAUGCGGGAGAGGGAGGUAGAAUUCCAUGUGUAGCAGUGAAAUGCGUAGAUAUAUGGAGGAAUACCAGUGGCGAAGGCGGCCUCCUGGCUCGACAUUGACGCUGAGGUGCGAAAGCGUGGGGAGCAAACGGGAUUAGAUACCCCGGUAGUCCACGCCGUAAACGAUGUCUACUAGCUGUAGGGGUACUUGAGACCUUUGUAGCGCAGCUAACGCGAUAAGUAGACCGCCUGGGGAGUACGGCCGCAAGUAAACU
rnacentral:rRNA from 1 species